rnacentral:rRNA from 1 species
GACGAACGCUGGCGGCGUGCCUAAUACAUGCAAGUAGAACGCACAGUUUAUACCGUAGCUUGCUACACCAUAGACUGCGAGUUGCGAACGGGUGAGUAACGCGUAGGUAACCUGCCUGGUAGCGGGGGAUAACUAUUGGAAACGAUAGCUAAUACCGCAUAAUAUUAAUUAUUGCAUGAUAAUUAAUUGAAAGGUGCAAUUGCACCACUACCAGAUGGACCUGCGUUGUAUUAGCUAGUAGGUGAGGUAACGGCUCACCUAGGCGACGAUACAUAGCCGACCUGAGAGGGUGAUCGGCCACACUGGGACUGAGACACGGCCCAGACUCCUACGGGAGGCAGCAGUAGGGAAUCUUCGGCAAUAGACGAAAGGCUGACCGAGCAACGCCGCGUGAGUGAAGAAGGGUUUCGGAUCGUAAAGCUCUGUUGUAAGAGAAGAACGGGUGUGAGAGUGGAAAGUUCACACUGUGACGGUAUCUUACCAGAAAGGGACGGCUAACUACGUG